GUCUCUUCGGGGAUGAUUAAACCGGCGCACGGGCGAGUAACACGUGAGUGACCUGCCUUUUAGACUGGAACAACUUACCGAAAGGUGAGCUAAUGCCGGAUGAGUUAUAUAAGUGCAUGUUUAUAUAGGAAAAGUUGGGGAGACCUGACGCUGAAAGAUGGACUCGCGUCCCAUUAGCUAGUUGGUAGGGUAAUGGCCUACCAAGGCGACGAUGGGUAGCCGGCCUGAGAGGGUGGCCGGCCACACUGGGACUGAGACACGGCCCAGACUCCUACGGGAGGCAGCAGUGGGGAAUUUUGCGCAAUGCUCGUAAGAGUGACGCAGCGACGCCGCGUGAAUGACGAAGGCCUUCGGGUCGUAAAGUUCUUUCGACAGGGAAGAAAAUGCCUAUAAGUAACUGUGUAUGUAUUGACGGUACCUGUAUAAGCAGCCCCGGCUAACUCCGUGCCAGCAGCCGCGGUAAUACGGAGGGGGCGAGCGUUGUUCGGAGUGACUGGGCGUAAAGAGCACGUAGGCGGUGUUGUAAGUCAUUAGUCAAAGACUAGAGCUCAACUUUAGUAAGGCUAGUGAUACUAUAAUACUAGAGUAUCAGAGAGGAUUGCAGAAUUCCUGGUGUAGCGGUGAAAUGCGUAGAUAUCAGGAGGAAUACCGUUAGCGAAGGCGGCAAUCUGGCUGGAAACUGACGCUGAGGUGCGAAAGCGUGGGUAGCAAACAGGAUUAGAUACCCUGGUAGUCCACGCUGUAAACGAUGGAUGCUAGGUGUUGGGCUUUUAAGUUCAGUGCCGCAGCAAACGCGAUAAGCAUCCCGCCUGGGG
rnacentral:rRNA from 1 species